GACAGAGGGUGCAAACGUUGCUCGGAAUCACUGGGCUUAAAGGGCGCGUAGGCGGGUCGGCAAGUCCGGGGUGAAAGCCCCCAGCUCAACUGGGGAAGGGCCUUGGAAACUGCCGGUCUCGAGGGAGGUAGGGGCCUGUGGAACUUCGGGUGGAGCGGUGAAAUGCGUUGAUAUCCGAAGGAACGCCGGUGGCGAAAGCGACGGGCUGGAUCUCUUCUGACGCUGAGGCGCGAAAGCUAGGGUAGCGAACGGG
rnacentral:rRNA from 1 species